GAUGAACGCUAGCGGGAGGCCUAACACAUGCAAGCCGAGCGGUAUAGAUCUUUCGGGAUCUUGAGAGCGGCGUACGGGUGCGGAACACGUGUGCAACCUGCCUUUAUCUGGGGGAUAGCCUUUCGAAAGGAAGAUUAAUACCCCAUAAUAUUUAGAAUGGCAUCAUUUUAAAUUGAAAACUCCGGUGGAUAGAGAUGGGCACGCGCAAGAUUAGAUAGUUGGUGAGGUAACGGCUCACCAAGUCUGCGAUCUUUAGGGGGCCUGAGAGGGUGAUCCCCCACACUGGUACUGAGACACGGACCAGACUCCUACGGGAGGCAGCAGUGAGGAAUAUUGGACAAUGGGUGAGAGCCUGAUCCAGCCAUCCCGCGCGAAGGACGACUGCCCUAUGGGUUGUAAACUUCUUUUGUAUAGGGAUAAACCUACUCUCGUGAGAGUAGCUGAAGGUACUAUACGAAUAAGCACCGGCUAACUUCGUGCCAGCCGCCGCAGUAACAC
rnacentral:rRNA from 1 species